CGGACGAACGCUGGCGGCGUGCUUAACACAUGCAAGUCGAACGGUGAUCUUGAGAGCUUGCUCUUGGGUGAUCAGUGGCGAACGGGUGAGUAACACGUGAGUAACCUGCCCCUGACUCUGGAAUAACUUCGGGAAACCGAAGCUAAUACCGGAUACGAGACGGAGAGGCAUCUCUACCGUCUGGAAAGUUUUUCGGUCUGGGAUGGACUCGCGGCCUAUCAGCUAGUUGGUGAGGUAAUGGCUCACCAAGGCGACGACGGGUAGCCGGCCUGAGAGGGCGACCGGCCACACUGGGACUGAGACACGGCCCAGACUCCUACGGGAGGCAGCAGUGGGGAAUAUUGCACAAUGGGCGAAAGCCUGAUGCAGCGACGCCGCGUGAGGGAUGACGGCCUUCGGGUUGUAAACCUCUUUCAGCAGGGAAGAAGCGAAAGUGACGGUACCUGCGGAAGAAGCACCGGCUAACUACGUG
rnacentral:rRNA from 1 species